rfam:Pteropus alecto contig32801, whole genome shotgun sequence.
GGUUCCAUAGUGUAGUGGUUAGCACGUCUGCUUUACAUGCAGAAGGUCCUGGGUUCGUGCCCCAGUGGAGCCA